UACCAGCACCCCGAGUGGUCGGGACGUUUAUUGGGCCUAAAGCAUCCGUAGCCGGUUCUACAAGUCUUCCGUUAAAUCCACCUGCUUAACAGAUGGGCUGCGGAAGAUACUAUAGAGCUAGGAGGCGGGAGAGGCAAGCGGUACUCGAUGGGUAGGGGUAAAAUCCGUUGAUCCAUUGAAGACCACCAGUGGCGAAGGCGGCUUGCCAGAACUCGCUCGACGGUGAGGGAUGAAAGCUCGGGGGA
rnacentral:rRNA from 1 species